AAACUAACAAGGAUUCCCCUAGUAACUGCGAGUGAACCGGGAAGAGCUCAAAUUUAAAAUCUGACGGUCUUUGGCCGUCCGAGUUGUAAUCUGGAGAAGCGUUUUCCGCGCUGGACCGUGUACAAGUCUCUUGGAACAGAGCGUCAUAGAGGGUGAGAAUCCCGUCCAUGACACGGACUACCAGUGCUUUGUGAUACGCUCUCGAAGAGUCGAGUUGUUUGGGAAUGCAGCUCAAAAUGGGUGGUAAAUUCCAUCUAAAGCUAAAUAUUGGCGAGAGACCGAUAGCGAACAAGUACCGUGAGGGAAAGAUGAAAAGCACUUUGGAAAGAGAGUUAAACAGUACGUGAAAUUGUUGAAAGGGAAACGCUUGAAGUCAGUCGCGUUGUUCAAGACUCAGCCUGGCUUCUGCCUGGUGUACUUCUUGAUCGACGGGUCAACAUCGAUUUUGGCCGGCGGAUAAGGGUCAGGGGAAUGUGGCACCUUCGGGUGUGUUAUAGCCUCUGAUCACAUACGUCGGCUGGGAUCGAGGACCGCAGCGCGCCCUUGUGGCCGGAGGUUCGCCUCACGUACCGCGCUUAGGAUGUUGACAAAAUGGCUUUAAGCGACCCGUCU
rnacentral:rRNA from 2 species